UACGUAGGGUGCAAGCGUUAAUCGGAAUUACUGGGCGUAAAGCGUGCGCAGGCGGUUAUGCAAGACAGAUGUGAAAUCCCCGGGCUCAACCUGGGAACUGCAUUUGUGACUGCAUAGCUGGAGUGCGGCAGAGGGGGAUGGAAUUCCGCGUGUAGCAGUGAAAUGCGUAGAUAUGCGGAGGAACACCGAUGGCGAAGGCAAUCCCCUGGGCCUGCACUGACGCCCAUGCACGAAAGCGUGGGGAGCAAACAGG
rnacentral:rRNA from 1 species